CUGAACAAAUUUUCAUUUCCAUUAGUUUGUCCCCGAAAGGCCCGGCCCCGUUACCGAUUCUCACCGUCUCCACUCGGUCUUUUACAAUUUUGCAGCUGCUCGCGGGUCGGCAUCUCGGCAGCUCCCGUCGUCGUCGUAGGCGUCGGUCAUAGCUCAAUCCGUCAGCUUCACUUCUGGCAUGAGAAAUAUGGUAAUGAGCAGUUUUUGGCUGCACUGAGGAAAUGGGUUUUCUGUGAAGGAGAUCAUCUUGAGUUGAAGGGUUUUUAAUGGAGAUGCCAUCAGAUGAAAAUUCACAGCAUGCAACCGUCUCAAAUGAUAUUAGUUGUCAGAAUGAUAAUCUGGAUGCUGACAUCUCAAAUCAUGGAGGCACGGAAUCCAGGCAUGAAAUUGCUGAGGAAGAAGUUAGAGGAAUUCUGGAAGUCGUUGCAUCAACUGGGAAGUUUUGGUAUGU